UCUUUUUUUUUUUUUGGUGCUGGGGAUUGAACCCAGGGCCUUGUGCAUGCAAGACAAGCACUCUACCAACUGAGCUAUAUCCCCAGCCCCCACCUCUUGACUUUUGAUUGACAGCAGUAAAGUCCUCUAUUGCACAUGACAACUCUAGGUCAUUUUGUCCAUACUGAUCAGUUCUAAUUGGAACCUGUUCUUAAAAGUCUCUUAUCCAUAUUAUUUUAGGCCUGCAUUUUUCCUGAAGAUAGUAGGUAGUAAGGGCUAGGGAUAUAGCUCAGCUGGUAGAGUUCUGGCCUGCAAACACUAAUCCCCAGUACCACCACCACCAAAAAAAAAAAAAAAAAGACAGUAGGUAGUUUGCUGAGGAAUGUGACAUGUCUGUCUACUUAAGCCAGGCAGAACUGCAGUUAAAUUUCUUCUUGGCAAAGAAAGCAUGCGGGGAUCAGCACAGUGGGCCCAUUUUAUUGAAUUAUUCCCUUAUACUCAUGUCUGUCUGUUCCCUAUCACUAUCUGUUAUCUGAGAAAAAGACUACCAGUUUCUGCUCUAAGCCUUAACAACCAGGUAAUCCAUGGAGAAAUUCUGGCCUCUUCUUACGAAUGAAAGAAGGGAGCUAUCACCUAGGCCCAAGGAACAGGUAUGAAAGUGGGGUAUACUUUGUAGUCCUGGGUAAACAGCCCUCCCACACUAACCUCUCCCACUGGCAGUAAAGAUAGGAGAAUACUCAGGCCAUGAGCCUCUCAGGAGAUGUGUUUUUUGGCCUUUUGCAGGUCCCCUAGUGAUGCCAGGUCAGCCUGCCAGGAGUAAGACUGGAGUGAGUUGGCAAGUGCAUUCUGGGGAAGCUGCUCCUCCCAACCUGUGGCUGGAGUUUGCAGUGGCCUUUCCUGGCUGCUUUGGCUGGGCUAGCCCAAGGUGGUGUUGCUACCACUGGUUAUUGGUGAUGAGUUCUGCUUCCUCACAUGUUGAAGUUUGAACAUUAGAGAAGCAGGCUGAGGCAAGCAUAUAAAGCAGGGUUUAUUUAAAAAGGAGUAACACAGACUUCUCCCUGGAGGGAGAAGGGAGGGAAUAGCUGGUAUCCUAGUAUCCCAAGAAGUGAGGGCAUCCUGCCCCCUUUAUACAUCUAGACUUUCUUUGUUCUUCUGCCUUCUUCCCCAUUCUCUCUCUCCUUCCUGUGAUACCUGACAAGGCCCAGGUGAUGCCAGUGGGGUAGCCAAAAGGUGAGAAGCAGAUGGGCAUGGCUAAGGGCCAAAUGGAGUGAUUCAGGCAGGAAGCAGCCCAGGAGACAUUAACUAAUAACUUUUAUAACUUCCUGUAGGGAGGGACAAUUUAUGGGACAGAUUACCUUAGCAACAGGUUGGAGGAGGGGCAGGUUAUCUCUUAAGGGUGGAGGGAGGGCUCUGAAGGCAUUAACAUUUCAAUUCCUCUGGGUUGGUCUCCUACUUCCCAGACCCAAGUUGGCCUCAGAUUUCUUAUCUAUACUGACUGCCUGUCUUUAAUUCUGGCUUUAGUGUGGCCUCUAUCUGAAUCCCCAAGCCUUGGUCAAGAAACCCAGGGCUGCAGGAAAACCAUGAGCCAGGUAGCACUCUGAUCAGGACCUGGUCUUCUGUGGAGCCAGCCUGGGAUUUGAAUCCUGGAAUGGAGAUACAGUGAGCCCCAGGAUGUGUCCCUUCCCUAGUUAAGUCAACUGGAGAGGAUGUUGUAUGAGGAAUUACAGGUGCCCCUGCUGGGGGAAGAAGGAAGAAAGGCUGCCAGGAAAGUAGAUUCCUACAGGUUGUCCAGCCCUUGGUUCUUGAGCAGUUGGUCCUGUGAGUUCGUGGAUCAGAGUGGAAGUAAGGUGGCUAUUUUCUUGUUUUCUGUUUCUAUCCUUCAGUUUUUAGAUUUUGUUUUUCAAGACCCAAAGGGUGGGGGAGCUUGCUACAGCACCAGGUAGCAUUAUAGUUGAGCUUUAUGGAGCUAUACUGCCAUCAAGUGGAAUAUGUUUCUGGUGAGCUGAGCCACAAGGCAGCAGAGCCGGGUGGAAAUCAGCAACACGCAGGAGACAGGAACUGUAAGCGAAAAUGGAUGAUUAUGCCCUGGCUGGCACUUGCCCUGUGCUCAUUCAGAGGAGUAAGGGCACCUGGCUCCUCCGCCAGGGAACACAAAGGAAGAAAAGGUUGGCAGUGGAAGGCCCACCAUAGUUGCUACAGGCAGUGGCCAGGGACAGCUUAGCGUAAACCAUGUGGUCCCCCAAACCUCCAGGUUGCUGUGUACCCAGCAAGGAAAGGGGUCUCCCGGCCUCAGCAUCGUGGCGGCCUCCAGCAGGGGCACCUGUAAUUCCUCACACAGACCCCAGAUCCCAAGGCCACCGAGCUCAGUCAGCAGCCAGCAGCUUCUCCUGGGCCCGCCCCAAAAAGGCGCCCUGGGCUGGUUGGUGCAGUGCUGCUGCCUGCAGGGUUCCAGGGCCCCUGGACCUGCUGCUUUCCCUGGGUAGGGUCCUGAGGGCAGGCAGGCUUCCCCCUGUGCUUUUGACUCCUGAUGGGGAGACCCUUGCUUGACCAGCAUCUGUUCUUCUCAGCCUGUCCUUGCUCUCACACCCCCAUCCCAUACCACCCUGGUGCCUGGCGGCUGGCUCAAGGUAAAUGUCCCUUGUGCCUGGGCUUUUCAGAAACCAUUUCUCCUGGUUGGACCUGCGGUUCCACAAAUGAUAGUCACUACUUACCCCACCCCAGCCUGCACUGUCUCCCUCCCUUUGUGUUCUGAAAAGCACCAGACAUAGGAUACCCAUAUCACCUUCAGAUAGGCUGUGGACCUGCCUACUUGGCCACUCUGGGGGCAGACCAGGCUCUCCUUUUUUACCUUUGAAUUCACCGAUUGGUAUGGGUUCUUGUGGACACAGACUGCCUGACCCAGUGUGCAUCACCUAACUCCCUCCAAUGGCCUUCCUUCAUACACCCAACCACCAUUCUCAGGGCAGAGGAGGACAUAAACAUUCCCCUUGGAGCUGCAUGUCCCUCUGGGACAGGAACUUGGGUCUCUUGUUUGUGUGCAACUCGCUUUUCCUUGGGUAGGAAACUUCUUUGUGGCCACAGGGGCACAGGUUGGGGGGCCAGAACUGUCAGAUCCAAGAAGGACAGCUGAAGUGGUUAUAACAUGCCAGAGAACCUGGCAGGACAAGGAGGUCAUGGCACCUCCCUCAGAAUCCAAGGCACUCCUUUGUGUCAGGGGGAAGGUGAUCUCUCUGAGAUGGGUUUCAUGGGGGCCUCUCCUUGGAAGGCCUCCACUGUGCUCAGCAUACUUCAUUGGCUCACUGGUUGGGAUUUAGGUGUUCCUUGACAGAGGCAUGGGUAGACAGGCUGGCAGACUUCUAUUCCACACCAGAAGUAGGUGCCUGUUCCAUGCUCAGUAGUUCUAGAUACCCUGAAUAUUUUAUCUUCAGGUGGAGUUUAGAUUCUGGCAGAGGGGUGGUGGGAAGCUGAAUGCAGGAAGUCCUGUGCCUUCAGAGAUGCUGAGGGGGUGGGGUAGAAGGCCUGUGAAUUAUGCCUAUACACAGACCUGUGCACUUUGAACCAGAGCUCUGGUGCAUUCUGAUUAU
rnacentral:lncRNA from 1 species